rnacentral:rRNA from 1 species
ACAUACGGCCACACCUAUGAGAAAACACGGGAUCCCGUCCGCUCUCCCCUAGUUAAACUUAUAAGGGGCAGAUUAGUAGUUGGGUCGGUGACGACCAGCGAACACCGGCUGCUGUAUGUU